CCUGCCUCAGCCUCCCGAGUAGCUGGGAUUACAGGCAUAGGCCACCACACCCAGUUAAUUUUUAUAUUUUUAGUAGAGACGGGGUUUCACCACGUUGGCCAGGCUGGUCUCGAACUCCUGACCUUAGGUAAUCCACCCACCUCGGCCUCCCAAAAUGCUGGGAUUACAGGCAUGAGCCACCGCCCCUGGUAUUCUCAAUUUUUUUAAAUAAGAGAUUUAUAUUGCUUGACAUUUUGCAUAUAAAGUGAGACUCUUUUAAAAAUAUACAUCAUGCUAUUUCAACAAGCUGGUGCUCCCGGGGAUGUCCAUGGGCUGUCCAACUGCCCCCGGGGCACCAGCUUCUGUUUUUUAUGCUGACUUUGGGCACUGAACUCUCCUUGGCUCCCAGAGGUCCUGACCAGGCUGGUCCUGCCAUCCACAGCGGUGCCUCUGCUAGCGACAUCCCUGCCCAAUUUUCCAUGUCCAGCUUUGACACCUCCACAGAAAGGCUGAGCCACCACCGGGCCCCCAUUGUGGCUGAGCAUCCACUCUCUCUUCCCCAUGUGCUCCUUGCCCCCGACUCCCCAUCUCUGGAACCCAAGUUUGGGCUGCAUGGACCACCUUCUGGGCCAGGCUGUUAGGAGGCCACCACCAAGCAGCAAACGCAGGAGCAGCCGUGCCCUGAGGAGGCACCACCAGCAGCCUCCAGCAGCACUCGGAAAGUGCACAAUCUUUUGAGGCCUCACACAGAUGGUGGUGUGAAAGGGUCAAGGCUGUGGAGGCCUGCUAGAGGGCCGAGUUCCAUUUCCCCUUAGAGUGAGUGCAGGGUCAGCCUCUCAGGGCUCGGGGGCUUCAGUGGCCCUGCCUCGGAGAGCUCCAGCCAAUGGCCAUGUCACGCGUGAGGCAGCUGAGGGGCCAGGGCAGCAGAGCAAGGUCUGUUGCCAGGAACUGACUGCCCUGCCUCCCAGCAGCAGGUCAGAGGUGGGGCAUCUGGGACAGGUGGCCACAGCAGCCUGGAGACAUCGCAGAAGGAGACCUUCCGUAGAACACCAGGAGCCCAGCAGUGAGGGGCUACAGGACCAGGACCCAGGGUGAACCAGGACCCAGGGUGACCCAGGACCCAGGGUGAACCAGGACCCAGGGUGAACCAGGAGGGUGAAAGGCCAGGUACUGCCCAGCUAAGGGCUGCAGCAGGCACCGCCUGCUAGGAGAGUCGCAAAGGACAUCCACACAAGUGACCACAAGCUCAAAGUCAACUUGAAACAUGGGCCACAGAUCGCCUGAAGCCAGCUUACCCCCUUGGGACACAGAACAGCCCCCAAAGACGUCCAUGACCUAAUCCCCAGAACCUGCGCAUAUGUUACCUGACACGGCAAGAGGGACUUCGCAUAUGCGACUGAGUUAAGGACUUUGAAAUGAGGCGAUUAUCCUGGAUUACCCAGGUGGGCCCCAGGCAAUCACAGCAAUCCUAAUGGGGGAAGACAGGAGGCUCAGGGUUGGGAGGAGACCGCGAUGGAAGUAGGGAAGCAGGUGGGGGCAGGAGGCACUGGACAGUGCCACGCUACCGCCCUGAAGAUGGAAGAGGGAAGGGAAUCUCCUCUAGAGCCUCCACAGAGGACACCAUGCUGCUGACCCCUUGAUUUUAGGCUUCUGAUUGCGGGACUGUAAGAACACAUUAACGUGUCUUCAGCCACUGAGUUUUUGGGUCAUUUCUCAUAGCACCAAUGGGAAGCCAACAUCUCACCCCACUGGGCAAGUGAAAACUUCCCGUGCCCUAUCCCUCCUUCCGAGCCGGAAGGGGGUCACAAAUCAGGCGGUCAGACACCAAAAAUAAAAAUAUAGGUGGCCAGGUACAGUGGCUCACGCCUGUAAUCCCAGCACUUUGGGAGGCCGAGGCGAGCAGAUCACAAUGUCAGGAGUUCGAAACCAGCCUGGCCAACAUGGUGAAACCCUGUCUCUACUAAAAAACAAAAAUUAGCCAGGGGCGGUGAUGCACUCCUGUAAUCCCAGCUACUCAGGAGGCUGAAAAAGGAGAAUUGCUUGAACCCGGGAGGCAGAGUUUGCAGUGGGCCAAAAUCACGCCACUGCACUCCAGCCUGAGUGACAGAGCCAGACUCCAACUCAAAAAAAAAAAAAAAAAAAAUAGAGGAUAGUGGCCAGGUGCAGUGGCUCCCAAUGCUUUGGGAGACCAAGGCAGGAGGAUUGCUUUAGUCCAGAAGUUCAAGACCAGUCUGGAGAACAUAUUGAGACCUUGUAUCUUAGACAAAAAUUAGCCUGGCAUGGUGGUGCAUGAAUUUUAAAUUCAUGAAUAGCCUGUGGCCCCAGCUACUUGGGAGGCUAAGAUAGGAGGAUCACUUGAGCCUACGAGGUCAAGGCUGCAGUGAGCUAUGAUCGUACCACUGUACUCCAGCCUCGGCAACAGAGUGAGAUCCUGUCAAAAAAAAAAAAAAAAAAGCCCAGCUAAGUUUGAGUUUCAAAUACUUUUUUUUUAGUAGAAAAAGACCCCAAUAUUGCAUGAGAUGUAAUUAUACUAAAAAAGUGUUCACUCUUUAUCUGAAAUGCAAACUUAGCUUGGCAUCCUGUUAUCUGGCAAUCCUCAUCAAAAACAGCAGCUACAUGGAAGGAGGGUAGCAGGGAAGAGAAAAACCACAGUCCCUGCUGCCCCAGUAGGCUCUUGGGGGCAUGGGGGAAAGCUAAUGGUAAGUCAGCAUCCACAUUUUACUACCUGGGACCGAACAUUUUAAAUUCAUGAAUAGAGACUGCUUUUGAUCUAAAGUGGUACCAGGAACUAAUUCCCUAGGAAUAGUCAAAAAAAAAAAAAAAAAAUCACGGGAAAGGUCUGGGCUUUUCAUAGCGUAGAAAGAAGGGACAAGAGGGCAGCCCUCUUCCCGCGUUCCCACUGAGCAGGUUUGAGGGGCAGCAGGAAACAAGGCUGACUGCAUUGUGGCACCCCUCCAGGCUGCCUUGGACGAGUUAAGAUGGGAUCCGUCAGCUUGGUCCCUAACCCCAGGUAAAGAUGGAACAGAUGCUGGCUGUGACCAGGAGUCCUGAAUUUGCCUUGCACCAUUUCCCUCCACCGGACUGGGAGCCACUGCGGGGCAGGAAGCUGCCUUUUCCAUUUCCCAAGACCGGAAUCAAUCACAGCGGCUCAUCGCAUCAUGCAUCCUCUGCAAUGGUUCCUUCCUUUCCAGGGAGGUUGGUCACGGCCAAUGCUGUCCUGUGUCCACCAGGUGGCGCUCGCGAUCACCGCAAAACACAUGGCUACCGUGAUGGUUUUUAAAUAAGAAAUCUUACAAUGGUUUUAGACAUAAAGGACUGUUGAGAAUAUGAUAGAGAGUUCGUGUGCGACCCGCACCCUGUUCCACUGCGCCUUAACAUCUGACAUGACUCUGGUCCAUCUGUCACCAUGAAGGAGCCAAUUCAUAUAUGAAGACAGCCAUGCACGGAGGGAAGGUAUUGUGAAGAGUCACACAGGAAGACAGCGUCCACAGGCCUCGAGAUGCACCAGCCCUGCUGACACCUUGACUUUGGGUUUGUGGCAUCCAGAGCUGUGAGGAAGUCGAUUUCUGGUGAUUUUAACCCCCUGCCCGCAGUUUGUGGUACAGCAGACCUAGGAAAUGAAUCCACAGUCCCUAUCCAAAGUUCACCUGUGGUUUUCUUAAAAAUACCCAUGGCGGAGCCCACACUAACGAUUCCGAUGUCCCAGGUCUGGGCGGGGCUCAGGUGUGGGUGCUUUUAAAACUGAGACUACACUGCAGGCAAGGCCAGCGUGGAGUCACGAAGCUGCUCUCCUGGUUAACCAGGAAACAGCAGCCAGGUGGUGUAGGGCGCCUGAGGACAGUCACUGAAGUGUACCUGAGAAGGUGGGGAUGACCCUGGAUGGCAGAUGCACGCGGAUGCAUGUUCCGAGCUAGGGAAUCUGGGUUGGCCAACCCCGAGAUCCGUUCCUUGUCUAUGAGACACAUCUGAGCCUCAGUUCCCUCUCCCCCACCCCAACCCCAGCCUGGCCCGUGGAACACGAGCUGUACAGGAGGUUGAGGCCCUGAGUUUUUGGUUAAAUGCAGGUUGCCAGGUGGAGGCCGUUAGGGGGAGGGGGUUAAAUGAAAAUGCUGGGUAAACUGCACGAUGUUUGCAGACGGCCGUGGCUCUCCUGUGCAGCCCGCUCUCCCCUGUCCGUACGCCGCAGUAAAACCUGUGUCUCGUUCACUGUCUCUGAGUCUCUUCGUUGGCCUCUUGAACCUGGUGCCUUCCCUAUUGAGGUUAAUAGGGGUUUCGGCACAAAGGAUGGACCCUCAUCUGCCGCCUGCUGUUUUGCGGGGAAAGGGUAGUAAGUUAUUUGGAGAGAGAAAUACCCAACACCAGGGCUGGAACCCCGGCAGCUCUGGUCCUCAGUGUGGGUUUUGACUCACAGCAGCCCCUUAGGAACUUGUUAAACUACAAAAAUCCUCAAGCCGCACACACAGCUCUUGGGUCAGAGAUUCCUGGAGUGGGCUGCUGACUGCAUUUUGAGGAGCCGUCCUGGGGGCUCCGAUGCAGGCUUGAGAGUGAGAACCCGGACGAGAAGACGUGCAGGCCCCACGCUGUGUGCACUCAGGCAGCCCCCGGACCAACCCACAGGGGUUUCAGUGUGAUCAGCUCUGUCUACAACAAGGUGUAAAGAAACAAAAUCCCACAACCACAGCCCCUGACCUGGGAGUUUCCUUCAUCAUCCGCAAACACAGUAACAUUUUCAAAAAGUCCUAAAGACUUAAGAAAAAGGCAACUUCCUCUCCACCUCCUCCAGACCUGCUCCCUGGAGGCAACCGCCACGAGAAGCUUCCCGUGGAUUUUCCCAAAGUUCUAGAGGUGCAUAUUCACCUCCACCUACAGCCUUUAAACAUGGACACACGGGAAGCAGACGACUGUCUUACUCCUUGACUUUUUUCUCGUUUAACAAUAUAUUAGGAGCUCACGCCAAUCUACGUUUUCCUAACCUGCCACUGUCUAAGUCGAUAAUAAUUUAUUGAGCCAAUUCCCGUUGAGAGGCACUUCAGUUGCUCCGUCUUUUGCUUUUAUGUACAACACUUGUUUAACAUCCUAGUAUGCACAUCUUCCUACAUACAGAUGGCUAAAUAUUGUUCCCAGACUGUGGGUUUCAUAGGCAAGUUAAAACAUCAAGAGAGUAAUCCAAAGCUGUCUCUUAUUUCACCCACUAAGGAUAUUUAAAAGAAAAAAAAAAGUAAUACCCUUUAUCAUUGCCUGUUUCACAAAAUAAAGUCAUUUUAACCUAAACCUUAGAAAAGACAGAUUCAAAAAACCAAAGUGAACACAUCGCUUUCUCACGUGACCAGGGAUCUGCAGCUCUCCAACACGGUUCUUCAAAGGAAAAGGGGAGAUGAGAUGAGUAGCACGCCCAAGCCCCCACCAGCUGUAGCUGCUCCCCCUCCCGCCUCCCAAGGGCACAAUUCUGUAAGAGGAACUCCUACCGCCUCCCUCCAUCCUGUCUGCAAUUAUAUCGCCCUGAUUUCCCAGGCUCUUCUAAUUUAGAGUGAGCGUGUCCAUUCUCAUUGGGUGCUUGGAGAAGGUAAUUCCAUCCAGGUGCCUAAUGAGACCAGCAGGCCACUGGACAGCUGUCGGGUUUUCAAAGAAAUCUGUUAGCAGGUGCUCACCA
rnacentral:lncRNA from 1 species